rnacentral:rRNA from 1 species
CUACGGGGCGCUGCAGUGAGGAAUAUUGGUCAAUGGGCGAAAGCCUGAACCAGCCAUGCCGCGUGAAGGAUGACGGCCCUAUGGGUUGUAAACUUCUUUUAUACGGGAAGAAACACCUCUACGUGUAGAGGUUUGACGGUACCGUACGAAUAAGCAUCGGCUAACUCGGGCCAGCAGCCGCGGUAAUACGGAGGAUGCAAGCGUUAUCCGGAUUUAUUGGGUUUAAAGGGUACGUAGGCGGAAACUUAAGUCAGUAGUGAAAUCCCGCAGCUUAACUGUGGAACUGUUAUUGAUACUGGGUUUCUUGAAUAUUGUUGAGGUAGGCGGAAUAAGUAAUGUAGCGGUGAAAUGCUUAGAUAUUACUUAGAACACCGAUUGCGAAGGCAGCUUACUAAGCAAUUAUUGACGCUGAGGUACGAAAGCGUGGGGAGCGAACAGGAUUAGAUACCCUUGUAGUC